UAGUGAUUACAGCUCUGCUAAAAUGAAGUGCUCUUGCAUGUGUUCCAUGUAAAAAAAUACAGCAGCUUUUAAGUAGGGAUACAUGUAGUCGCAUAAAGACGACAUUUUCGGUAAUUUUGUAUGAUUGCAUGUAGCCUGUCAUAUUUCAAUCAUGAUGACUGUGGGAUUAUGACUGUGAGCAGAAAAGUGGGGAAAUUAAUGAUGACAACAUAAAUGUCUUUAAUGCAGUUUGAGUAGUUUUGACUUUAUUUUUACAAUAUUUGGAGUAUUUUGUUGCAUCGAAAAACAUGCCAACACAAGUAUGGUAACUGUGAAACAUCUACUAAUGAAUUUGCUACUGUAAUUUGCUUCAUCGAUAAUCUCAUUCACAUACCUACUUAUGUUUGAAGCACUCCCUCUGGUUUUUAAACAAUAGGUACUACACUUUUUUUAGGAAACAUAUACAUAUCUUUGUUUAUUUUUUCUAUUGUGUGUGCAUUCAUUAGAAACAAACAGCUAUUUACAUAUAUGCAUGUUUGCUCUGUAGUCUGACUGACCAGAUGUAGACUGUGGGUGUAAGCCAUCGUAUGGUCCCCUUCUAUAAUAUUUUCAAAAUGCGCUUUCAAUAUGGCAAACAAUAACACCCUCAGAGCUGCAGCCUCCAUGCUGAUAACAGCAGCUUUUGAUUGACUGAUGUAAGAUUUGUAUUAUAGAGUAAAGCAGAUAUGCUUGUGUCUUUCAAGUUAACGUUCAUAACCUCCUUUUCGAUGGAGCUGGUUCCCCUUCGAGUUCGGAGCCAGUGCCUGACUUAGCACCAGUUCUUUGUGUUUCCAUCAGCUGAGCACCGGCUACAGGCUCCAAAAACUGGUGUUUUUCAGGCACCAACUCUUUGCUGGGCCAGAGUUGAGAACCGAGUACGUCACAGGCUGGGGGCGGGGUUACGGUGACCGACGAUCAACGGUGAAAACACAGUUUUAAUCAGCAGAGCGAGUAGUAGUAGUAGUAGUGUUUAGUGUUUGUGUUUUGAAAACCGGUAAAUAUAGAUGCCAAAUCCAAGCAGCAGCGGUCUGAGGAGGAGACCCAAUGCUUCCUAGCACUGUGGUCUUCAUAUGAAAUUCAGUUGAAGUUAGAGGGAGCCUCUUGGACCACGCUGGUGUUCGAAACGAUCCAGCAGGAGAUGGCUGCAGCCGGUACGAGUGGAGCCUCAACUAACUCCUCAACAAACUUAAAAAGCUCAAAAAUGACUACACGGACCAGAAAAGGGAGGUGGAACGCAGCAGUUGUCGGCCAAAAAGAGCCCCCAUUUUGACCGGCUGCAUUCCGUGAUUUCCAACCGCGGCCCUGAACGCCACAGCCGUGCUGGAGUUGAUGCACUCCACCGUACAGACCACCGAUCCUGAUCCUGUUGUCGGCCUUGGAUGAUGAGGUCCAGUUACCAGGACCGCUACUCUGCAGCUCACCGGUCCCGUUCUGCACCUCAUCCACGCCGUCCUCUCAACAGACCAGAUCAAGAAAAGAGAAGUGGGAUGCUUCUGUGGAUCUGCUGCAGUAUCUGGAGAGGUCAGAGGAAUGGUUCUUGGAACAGAUCAGAAAACACCAACCAAGAGCUGGCCACUGCCAUGCUCCAGAACAUCCAGAGGAUGGAUGGAAAUUCAGACACCUUGGUUGGACUGAUGGGACAUGGUGUUGGUGCUGGAGCAACUGUCCCAGAAAUGAACUGCAUUGUCCACUAUUUCUGCCUUUUCUAGAAAAUAGGGCAGUGGUGGCUAUAGGUCAGUGGUGGCGCAAUGAUUAAGUCUCUGGACUACGGAUCAGAAGGUCAGAGGUUCAAGCCCCGAUGUGGCCACUGUUGGGCCCUUGAGCAAGGCCCUUAACCCUUCCUGCUCCAGGAGUGCUGUACCGCGGCUGACCCGUUGCUCUCCCCCAACUGGGGAGAGAUGCGAAAAUCAGAAUUUCCUCUUGUGGGA